rnacentral:lncRNA from 1 species
UAAAUAAUAAAAAAGAAUAGAAAUGCCAUAGGCGACCCCAAGCGUUUCCUUGUUUUCUUGUUAUUUGAUGCAUCUAUGGAAUAUGGUAUGUGAUGACUUCAUGCUCGGGUAGGGGUCUAGGAGAGUCUCAAAUUAAGACUCUUCUUGGGGGCAGUGAACCAGGACCGUUGUCUCAAAUCCAAUGGACGCCGCUCUCGAACCAGCUACCUCGAACUAACGUCAAUUACCGGAAGAAAACUAGGAAAAUUUGUGUUAUGUCUAAACGCCGACAGAGGUAAGCAGAUUAAAAGGAAGUGAGCUUGAGCUUUUUAAAAUUUUUUAUUUUUUGAAUAAAACGAGUUAUAACAGUAGGCUUUAAGGAAUUAACAACGACAACUAAAAAUUUGAGCUUGAGGGUAAAAGGAGCAUUUCGGCCCUUAAUGUUUUUGGCGUUAAAAGGCGCGGCUGAAGCCAUCCUCGAAAAUCUCUUCAAAGGUUAGUAAUUAUAGGCUGAUUUCUAGGGUUCUUAGUUUGGGCGGAAUUUUGAAAUUGAGUGAAAGCUAUUGAACGUUUGAAAUUGGAACAUUGAUGGUGCGUAAUAAGGUGUAGAGCUUCUUGUUAAAAAUGGUAAUAGAAAGUUCUGCCAUAGUUGAGCAAGGAUGGAAUUUUGUGAAGAAUAGGAAAGAGAGGAG